GAUGAACGCUGGCGGCGUGCUUAACACAUGCAAGUCGAACGAUGAAGCCCAGCUUGCUGGGUGGAUUAGUGGCGAACGGGUGAGUAACACGUGAGUAACCUGCCCUUAACUCUGGGAUAAGCCUGGGAAACUGGGUCUAAUACCGGAUAGGAGCGUCCACCGCAUGGUGGGUGUUGGAAAGAUUUAUCGGUUUUGGAUGGACUCGCGGCCUAUCAGCUUGUUGGUGAGGUAAUGGCUCACCAAGGCGACGACGGGUAGCCGGCCUGAGAGGGUGACCGGCCACACUGGGACUGAGACACGGCCCAGACUCCUACGGGAGGCAGCAGUGGGGAAUAUUGCACAAUGGGCGCAAGCCUGAUGCAGCGACGCCGCGUGAGGGAUGACGGCCUUCGGGUUGUAAACCUCUUUCAGUAGGGAAGAAGCGAAAGUGACGGUACCUGCAGAAGAAGCACCGGCUAACUACGUGCCAGCAGCCGCGGUAAUACGUAGGGUGCGAGCGUUAUCCGGAAUUAUUGGGCGUAAAGAGCUCGUAGGCGGUUUGUCGCGUCUGUCGUGAAAGUCCGGGGCUUAACCCCGGAUCUGCGGUGGGUACGGGCAGACUAGAGUGCAGUAGGGGAGACUGGAAUUCCUGGUGUAGCGGUGGAAUGCGCAGAUAUCAGGAGGAACACCGAUGGCGAAGGCAGGUCUCUGGGCUGUAACUGACGCUGAGGAGCGAAAGCAUGGGGAGCGAACAGGAUUAGAUACCCUGGUAGUCCAUGCCGUAAACGUUGGCACUAGGUGUGGGGACCAUUCCACGGUUUCCGCGCCGCAGCUAACGCAUUAAGUGCCCCGCCUGGGGAGUACGGCCGCAAGGCUAAAACUCAAAGGAAUUGACGGGGGCCCGCACAAGCGGCGGAGCAUGCGGAUUAAUUCGAUGCAACGCGAAGAACCUUACCAAGGCUUGACAUGUUCUCGAUCGCCGUAGAGAUACGGUUUCCCCUUUGGGGCGGGUUCACAGGUGGUGCAUGGUUGUCGUCAGCUCGUGUCGUGAGAUGUUGGGUUAAGUCCCGCAACGAGCGCAACCCUCGUUCCAUGUUGCCAGCACGUAAUGGUGGGGACUCAUGGGAGACUGCCGGGGUCAACUCGGAGGAAGGUGAGGACGACGUCAAAUCAUCAUGCCCCUUAUGUCUUGGGCUUCACGCAUGCUACAAUGGCCGGUACAAUGGGUUGCGAUACUGUGAGGUGGAGCUAAUCCCAAAAGGCCGGUCUCAGUUCGGAUUGGGGUCUGCAACUCGACCCCAUGAAGUCGGAGUCGCUAGUAAUCGCAGAUCAGCAACGCUGCGGUGAAUACGUUCCCGGGCCU
rnacentral:rRNA from 1 species